rnacentral:rRNA from 1 species
CCCUUAGAUGUUCUGGGCCGCACACGCGCUACACUGAAGGAGGCAGCGUGUACUCCUGGAUCGAAAGAUUUGGGUAACCCGCGAAUCUCCUUCGUGCUAGGGAUUGAGGUUUGCAAUUAUCCUUCAUGAACGAAGAAUUCCCAGUAAGUGCAAGUCAUAAGCUUGCGCUGACUACGUCCCUGCCCUUUGUACACACCGCCCGUCGCUACUACCGAUUGAAUGAUUUAGUGAGGACUUCGGACUGGGACCGAUGCGGCUUUCGGGCUGCGUCGGUAUUCUGGAAAGAUGUCCAAACUGUAUCAUUUAGAGGAAGUAAAAGUCGUAACA